GGGCACAUGGUGUAGUUGGUUAUCACAUCCGCUUAGCAUCCAUCAUCAAGGUUUCGCUUGUUGUGCGGGGGGUGCUGGGUUCAAUUCCCAGUGUGUCCA